rnacentral:snoRNA from 1 species
UCUUCUGUGAUGAUUUAAUACAGUGACUUUCGUUCUUCUGAGAUUACUGAAGCCAAAAUUUCUGUCCUGAGAAGA